CUGUGUCUCACUCAAGAAGGCUCAAAAGAUAAUGGAGAACUAAUGAAGGAGAGACAGGGAAUCCAGGCAGCCUGUGGCACAAUUCUACCAUAAAAGGGCAGCAGAGGAAUGGGGCUUGAAGAGAGAGGGAUCAAGAGGUGUUUUAAUAGAUCCCUGGGAAGAUUUUGCAGCAUUUUGUAUGCUGAUAGAAUGACUCAACAUCAAGGAGGGAAAAACUGGUGACGUAGGGGAGAAAGGAGAAGAUCACAGGAGGAAAUAGGCUGAUGGGAUUCAGUGAGCAAAGGGGUCACUGGCUAUGGGAACAGGAGGGAGGCCAGACAGGCUCUCCAGCCAAGAUGCAGCAAGGAGAUGGCGAGAUGCGGAGACGGAGGACGAGCACGUUCUCUCCUCAGGGAAAAUGAAAAGUGAGGUCGUCUGCUGAAGGUCUUCUUCUUUACCCACUGCACUGGUCUCCUGAAUAGGACUAAGGAGUCAUGGAAAUGGCUGGUUUUCAAAGUUGAAGUCAACUGGUAACUCCUGUAGAACCGUUUGCAAUGAGAGGACUUCCAAAACUAUGUUACCUACAGGAGCGCAGAAUUUGUAUCUAACCAGUCUAUAUACAGUGAAGAAGCAGAAGCCUGAGGCUGAUGCAGAAUUCUGAGCAGUUGGAGGAGGCUGGGCCCAGGCCAGGCAGCAGACGGAAGGCUCUCAGCAGCAGGUGGCACUUCUCAGUAAACCAACCACUGCCCUCACGAGAGAAGGAGCUAGCCGGUGGACAUCUCCCACAGCCCAAAUGCACCAGAGCAGGAUAUGGCUGCAUUGGUCAGAUAUCAUAUGAUGAGUGCCUGAGAAUUCUCUCUGAGAGGUCAGGGGGCCUCAUGAAGAAAGACCUUCAUUGUCAAUAGAAACAUCAACAAGUAAAUGCCCAGAUUUAUGGAGGAGAAAGUACUAUAGACGAGUUUAACUUCAGCCUUUUCAUUUUCUACCCUAACUUCAUAUCAAGCUGUUUGGAAAAGAAAACACUAGAGGAACUACAAUUGUGAACUUUGAGGGCUCCAGCCUUGGGGAUGUUUUAGAAUCUGGCUAGUAGUCCUUGUGUUUUUCUAGUCAUCUCUUGGUGAGGAAUUUUUCAGCACUGCUGAAAGAUUAAUAAAUUCCUGGUGAACAGGGUUCCCUGAUAAAAUGACGGCUCUGCAUUUAGCAGUUUAAUUUAUUUCUACAGAGGAUUUAGUGCUUUUCCAUGACUAUCUUAGAUACCCAGAGAGUAAAAUCUAUUAAUUCUCAAAAUGGUACAUACCGAAGGAAGUAUUAAAGUAUGUCUCACUCUUCUUACUGCAAAGCUUAGGGAUCACAACUUCGAAUUUUAACUUUGUUGUGUUUUUUCCUUGAUGAUGUUUCAAAAUAGAUUUCUGAUUUUCAUCACAAACUAGGGGUGUUCUUCAAAUGCCCAGCAGACCAGGCUGAUGAAGGAAUGUCAGACACGAGCCAUUAACUUCAAUUUGCAGGGACAGGACUCCUGGCUCAUUUAUGUGCAGUGGUCAGCCUUGAACAGGCAGCAGGAGGCCACUCAAGGGCUGGGUUCACUCUCCCACCUGCUGUGGUGUGGACACUGGAGGAGACCUGUAGGCAUUCCCUUACCUAUCCAUAAUUACUUAUUGAUUUCUUGUUUUGUCAGUGCAAUGGUGGUAAAAGCCAAUGAAAUGAAUAGCAGGGCAGGAAGAAAAGAGAGUCCUGUGUGAGACAGGCUGUGAAGGGCACGGACUUCACUUCUAUCAAAGCUCAUUAUUCACUGGCUGAAUGGAAUGUGCCAUCCGAGAGUCUGUAUUCCCUGACAAUAAAGGGAAGGGCAUCUAAAGAUUAGCUUUAUGUUUUGUUUCUCACAUCAAAAUGGCAAUAGCAAAUACAAUAUUGCUAUUCAGAGAAGCAUGACCUUACCCAGUUUCCAGGACAGGCAGCUUGGCAUUCCGGGAGAAAGCAACUCACUGUGCACAAUGCUGACAUUUCACUGGGGAAGGGGCAGGAUCCUAAAAUCCCCAGGCCUAGAAUAAUCUGAUUUCUAACCCCAGUGACUGUCAACAAGAGUUUGAUUCUGAUGUUUGAUUGAUCUUGGAUUCGAUCUCUGCAUUUAUGAGCUAAGGGUUUUAAUUCUUAUGGAGAGGCUGAGUCGAUGUUGUUCUCUUUGAAGCACUUUGAGUUUCUUGGAACACAUGAGUCUCAGUAACAGAAGGCUACAUGCUGGAAAAAAUCAUCUGCCACUUGGAACAGGGACUGGCCUGUCUCUUCCAUGGUAACACAAUAGUUUGUUUCAAAGGCUUAAACGUGUUUCUAGGAAGCAUCUCAUGGAGAAGCAAAGGAACGAAAGAACAGAGGUGGUGUCUCCACACACCGCUUGCCCUCUCAGCACCCAACGCUCACAGGCAUUUUUACUCUGGUGUCGGGCUGACUGAUAACUACUUCCAGUUGAUCUCAGAUGAACCAGUAUGUGUCUCGGAAGGCAGAGCAGAGUUCAUCGUACCUGAAGCUCCAUGACUGCCCUGUAAAUCAGUUACCCUGGGGUGGGUCCCCAUGGAAUCACACAAGAGGGCCCAGAGGGCUUGGGUAGCUAGGGCUUCUGGAGAUUCCUAAAGCUGUGGCUGAGGGGCCCCAGCUAAGUCCCACUGAGACUCCAAGUCCAGAUUGUGAAUGUUGAAGCUUGGGGAGAGCAAAACACUGCUGUGUGGAGCUGAAAUCCGACCAGUUUAGGGAGAAAUCACACACCAAAAAGAUGUCAUGGAAAGAGACAAGGAAUCUCCUGGCUGGCAAAUUAGCCUAGAGCCCACCCACCACCAGGCAGGAAUGAUUCACUGGUGAAACGUUCACGUACACUGGUUGUCAUUCUUCAGCAAAAAGUUAUUUUGCUUCAAUGUGACAGUGAAUAUGAGGUCUUAUUUGCAUUUUUAAUAAUCAAACAAUAGCACAGUUCUAUUUUACUAAAAUUGAAGGAAGACAUUGAUACAAAGCCUAAAAUUUUGUUCAAAUAUCUGUCCAGAUUUAACAGAAGCUCAGAAUUUUAGGCCAGUGAAAAUACUCUGUAUGAUGCUAUCAUGAGAGCUACCUGCCAUUAUAUAUCUGUUCAAAAUCAGAGAAUACACCACACCAAGGGUGAACCCUAAUGCAGUGUAUGAAUUUUAUGUGACUAUGAUUUGUCAGUACAAGUGCACUGGCUAUAACAAUUGCCAUUCUGGUGGGGGAUGCAUAUGUGGUGCAGGGGUAUAUGAGAAAUCUCUACACCUUCCUCUUAAUUUUGCCUAAAUUUAAAAUUGCUUUAAAUAAAGAAUUCAAAAAAUGUAUUUAAGUGAAAAUAGUAAACUUCCUGAAAGAACAACAACAAAAUCUGAGACCAAGUGCUAAACAUGCUUACAUUUUUUAAGAGUCUGCUACAUAAAUAAUACCUUGAAAGUAAAGAGGGCCAGGUAAAAUGUAAAACCAAAGUCUGUCACUGAAUUCGUAUUCUGGAAGGCUAACUAAAUUGAUUAUGGACCUACAGCCUUAUGAAGACCAAUAAAACAGAGAUCCAUAUUGGCUGGGGAUGAGAUAAAUGUCAAGUUUCCAUGCCAUUAAACUUUGAGUUGUAUCUUUAUAUAUUCUGGUAUCCAAGAGUGGAGUUUUGAAUUUUGGGAAACAGAAUAAUCGAAGUAGUUGAGAUAAACUAUGAACUAUGAUUUUAAAUAAGUCAAAAACAUCUGUUUUUGCCUAAGACAUAGUUAUGGUUACCUUCAUUUAUUUCAUUUUCUGCAUUUCUAUUUUCUAGCAUAUAUGAAUAAAAUCUCUUUCAGGCAGUACUUCUUAAUUUUGCCUGGUACCUAUUUUUGAUGUUCCUUAAUUCAACACUGUUAAUUAGGAAUGAAUACUAAUUGUACCAGAGCUGGGCACAAAUUCCACUGCAAUUUCCAUGGGGAAAUCACUUGCAACAUAAGUUCGGGUUGCGAAUUCUUCCAUAAUAAAU